rnacentral:rRNA from 1 species
UUUUAAAUUAGGUUAGAUCUUAUUAUUUUAGUUAUUUUAAACUAAAAAGAUUUGGCGGUUUUUUAAUCUUUUUAGAGGAACCUGUUUUAUAAAUGAUAGUCCACGAUUAAUUUUACCUAAUGUUUUUUUGUAUAUCUCUGUCGUUGAAUGUUUUUAUAGGUUUAUUUUCUUUUAUUGGUUUGGAAUUAAUUUUAUGUUAGGUCAAGGUGCAGUUAUGGUUAGGUAUAAAUGGGUUACUUUAAUUUUUUUUUUUCAUUUUAUUUUUGGGUAUAUUGUUUUGAUAGGAUUUAAUAGUAAUUUUUUUUAUUUAAGGAUUUGAAUGGGGCUCUAGAUUAUGUA